rnacentral:rRNA from 1 species
GACGAACGCUGGCGGCGUGCCUAAUACAUGCAAGUCGAACGCAUUUUCUUUCACCGUAGCUUGCUACACCGAAAGAAAAUGAGUGGCGAACGGGUGAGUAACACGUGGGUAACCUGCCCAUCAGCGGGGGAUAACACUUGGAAACAGGUGCUAAUACCGCAUAAUUCCAUUUACUGCAUGGUAGAUGGAUGAAAGGCGCUUUUGCGUCACUGAUGGAUGGACCCGCGGUGCAUUAGCUAGUUGGUGGGGUAACGGCCUACCAAGGCUGCGAUGCAUAGCCGACCUGAGAGGGUGAUCGGCCACACUGGGACUGAGACACGGCCCAGACUCCUACGGGAGGCAGCAGUAGGGAAUCUUCGGCAAUGGACGCAAGUCUGACCGAGCAACGCCGCGUGAGUGAAGAAGGUUUUCGGAUCGUAAAACUCUGUUGUUAGAAAAGAACAAGGAUGAGAGUGGAAAGUUCAUCCCUUGACGGUAUCUAACCAGAAAGCCACGGCUAACUACGUGC